CCUGGAGGCUCCCCUUGUGAGAGUUACCAAAUAAGUGAGAGCUUAGGGCCUUAUCAAGCAGCAGGGUUGCCAGCCUCUGAGAAGCAAGAGCAAGUGUUCCAGCUCCCUUUUCAAGUAAAGUUCAUGUCAAUGAAUAAACUGACAUAUUUUUUUUUCUCCCCAUCAGGGCCCACGAUUUCUCAUUGGUGUCUGUAGAUUUCAAAACAGAUUCCUUCAACUCUCUGAAUUCUCACGUCCCCACCCUUCUCUCUUCCAAUGCUUCCAAUAGCCAUGGCCAUGCCACACACAUCUCAAAAAUGACAUCAGAUCAUCCAAAUGAGAAGAUGAAAUAAAACAUCUGCCCUUUGUAUGGGGAUGUUCCGACGAUAAGCAUCAUGAGAGCCAGACUUGGUGUUGAGAAGCCACAGUGAGAUUUAACUUCCCACUGGUUUCUCAGAUCAAACCAAAUGAGUCUUUAAAAUCCAAUGUAAUUUAGCUAAUUUCUACAGAAUAUAAAUGAAUGAAGAGGUAAAUUAUUCCAGUAAUUUAUAUUCACCUCUUUAUACUCAAAGGCCAUUUAUAAUUUUGUCCACUGAGUUGAAAACUCUAUUCCAGAAAUCUAAAGAAUCACAACAUGACAUUACACUCUACGUAUUCUUGAGAGGGUAGGAUGGAGGGAGGAAUUAGGGACUUGAUGUACUAUUCUAUCUAUGCAUGGGGAGCCCAGAAUAUGGGAUGUGAGUGAUGGGCCAGGGCCUGAGCAGUUUAAAGCAGGUACCUGGGGUAAGAGUUGAGUCUUGACUCAAUUCAAGCCAAUAUGCCACCAUCCACCACAGUUUCUUGGCUCCCUAAGAAUGCCUUGUUGUGUUUUCACUGGCAGCUUUUGUAUUUACUUAAAAGGGGCUGGUUAAAAAAAUGAGUCUAAAAGAUUUCAGGGAGGAGGAGGAAAGAAAUCCAGCGGCCACAAAAUGUAAAACCACUGGCUGGCCUCCCCUCCCUCCUCCCUUCCACCUCCAGCUUCCUGCUCUUAUUCCUCUCCCCUCCCCAGGCUGGAGGAAGGGGAGCAGCCCUAGCCAACUUGUCAAAAUAAUGCUGCUAAUUACCCCUGAUCUCCUUUAAUGGGAAGCUGCUCCCAACUCCACAAAGGAGUAAAUGAGAGGUCUACAACACAAACCAGGAGCACUGGCAUUUUUUGAGCUUACAGUGAGCUGGGGGGUAGGGAGGGCAGCAGAGGGAAGAUAUCCUGAGAGGGUCUCAGAAAUAUCUAUGCUCAUUACUCCCGGUUUAAAUACUAGCCUGAAAAGGGAAUUAGACUUUACUCAAUGCCAGAAGCGACUGGUAUUCUCUUGCUAAGAAUGUCACCAAUUGCACAGAGAAUAUUCAAAGCUUUCAAUAAACUUGAAAGAAAACAUAACAUUGAUGCUCCUAUUGAUUCCUGCCCCCCAAAUAUCUUCUUAGCUACGUAGCCUUACUCUAAUGGAUAAAGAUGUAGUCUUGAAAGGACCAGACUAUGAACAUUUUCCCCAUCCCCCGCCUCAUCUCUGUUUUUCUCUAUGUCUGUAUCAAGCUUUGCGUUUGGCAGAAGGCUCACCAUUCAUUUCAGUGAUCUCUACCAUUGGUUCUUGCAUGAAAUAGAAGCUGAGCAACAUGAUCCCUUUGACCCACUUCUGGAGCAACAAAUUUAUUAGAGAUAUAGGCAUGAGAAAUGAAAGGGAAGUAAAACAAUUCCAGCUUA
rnacentral:lncRNA from 1 species